rnacentral:rRNA from 1 species
UACGAAGGGGGCUAGCGUUGCUCGGAAUUACUGGGCGUAAAGGGCGCGUAGGCGGCACUGUUAGUCAGGCGUGAAAGUCCUGGGCUCAACCUGGGAACUGCGCUUGAUACGGCAGAGCUAGAGGAUGGAAGAGGCUCGCGGAAUUCCCAGUGUAGAGGUGAAAUUCGUAGAUAUUGGGAAGAACACCGGUGGCGAAGGCGGCGAGCUGGUCCGUUACUGACGCUGAGGCGCGACAGCGUGGGGAGCAAACAGG